UUGACUACAGUUUUUACCACCCCCGUCACUGCUUCGUUCACGGAUAAAAAUGGUUAGUUACAAACAACAAGUCAGUACCUACAUACAUCAAACGAAUCGGGACAAGACCAAGUAAUCAACAUCAAUAAACAUAAAUUAAGCAAGCAUUACACCAAAAAUGUGAACAAUUAUAAACAAAAAGAUGACGGUAUUAAACAUAUGCCAUUCUGCAUUGCGGUUAAACCAAGCAAAUCUCAAAAACAAAAAUUGAAAUACAAAAAAUAUAAAAUGUGGCAUACAAAACACAAAUACGAUAUAAACAAAUGCAAAAAUUACUACCUGCAUUAAAUAACACAAAAUAACAACAAAUAUUUAUGGAGCGAUGCGUUCACGACCGGCAUUCAAGACAAGAGGCCAAACCUGGGCCAAACCCCCGUUCGUGCUUUUCUAGAUGGCACAGGCUGCUUUUUCCCACCUAAAAAUUGCAUGCCCGCGUAUAAGCAAUAUCACGCUGAUAAUCUACUUCCAAGUAACCACAUAAGUUAAUACUUCCCGGAACCGAAAGUCCCUUACUAGAAACCGCAACGGUUAUUCAAGAAAUGAAUUGUCUUUAUCCUUUUUACCGGUAGCGGUUUACUUUGGUUAAUAAACUU